GACUGAGCCACCCAGGCGCUCCCUAAAAUUGGAAUGUUACAGAGAAGAUUAGCAUGACCCCUGCCCAAAGAGUAUGAAGAAAUACAGAAUUGCUUUGUUCUUUU